UUAACCUUUAGAUUUUUGAAAAUUAUUUAUUGCUUAUGUGAAAUAUAGGUAUGUUUCCAAAACCGUACCCCCAAGUAAAUGCUUAAAGUUCAGUCCAAGCCUCCCGGCAAGAAGAUGCAUCCCCUGGCCAAAAGAUAACAGUACUCCCAAGGGCAGAAGACAGCGCCUAUGAAUGGACUACCCGCGCGACCCAACUGGAAAUCACAAUUUGGGAACCACUAGGCUACUACUUUAGGGUCGGCGAUGCCGUGAUGGUUUCAGGAGGCAUGGUCUCAAUGGUGUUGACAACAUGAUUCUGCUGCGAGGAUAUCAUCUCUGAACUAAACAUGUAACGACCAGAAACCAGGGUGCAUUCUGCUCGGUGCAAGGAGAGGACGUAGGUCUCGGAUACUCCACGAGGGACUAGAUCCGAUUAUCGGGACAUUUUCACAGACAGUCAAGACGGGCUUGUUUUGGAGCUGUCAAUCUUCCGGUGGAAACCACAUGAGUCACUCAGAGCGACAAUCACAAUGUUUACAGGGAGAAAAACAGCAUGUUCCAUGAAUAAUGAAAUUAUGAAUGAUGAAAUGUAAUCUGAGCAGCAAUGGGAGGAAAGGGCCUCUUCUCUCUGAUGUAAUUCUACAGCAGCACAGUGUAUGAGAAUCUAGAUACUGUUGAAUCAUCGGGGGUCAUUAUUGUCAUUCAAAUGGCCAUGUUACACCAUGUCAGAGGGCUUACUACAGCCUCUAUUUAAGCCUUUUUAAUGGCUCAGCACAGCAGUCCCUAUGUUCUGGAGAACUGUGGGGGGUUUUCUAGCCUGGAACACCAUGUGGAUCCGUCAGCCUGUCACACACACAUCAUUAUGAGGCCAUGAACGAUGACAGGUGAACAACACAUUAUGUUAAUAUAAAGGCUUUGGUUUGGGGUACAUUGGUGGUGGAGUUUACCUUGUGAUCUUCUUUGGUCAGCACUACUUUACGAAUAGGACCGUCUCCUUGGGUCUUCUUCAGUACAUGUGUUUCCUGAGGGAGAGAUCAAACAGGCAAAUAAAUAAUCAGUGAUAAUCAAUCAGUGAAAAAAAAUACCUUAACUAUAAUGAAUAUCAAUUAAUAUAUUAUCCCUAGUGUUGGCUCCAACAGACCACUCACAUGCCCACUGGAGAUGGGCAUGUGGUCGUUGUGGCCCACAUCAAGUGCCUCCACAGCCUUUAACAGUUUGAGGAAAUCUCUCUACUACCUGUGCAUCUGGAAAGCAACUGCACUUUCCUGUCAACCUGCUGGCUGCUGCACAAAUCACGAUGACUCAUUCUCACCCCUCUUGUUAAUUAGGCAGAAUGAAACACAUAAUUAAAGGGUAAUUGACAGGGAAAUUGAUGAAGUAAAUUGUUUCACCCAGGCAGAGUUUUAAGCAAGGUUGGGGUAAAUUCCAUUUAAAUUCCAGUCUAUUCAGAAAGUGAACCAAAUUCAAAUUUCAAAUGUCCCUCAUUGAAAAGCAUUGAAGAGAAUUGGAAUUGGAAUGUCAGAUUACUUCCUGAAUUGACUGAAAUUUAACUUGACCUCAACCCAGGAUUUAAGUAGAAAGUAUUCUGCCAAAUUCACCUGGAAUUCCAAAUGUUAGAGGAUUAGUUCGAUAUUAGUUGCUGAGCUGUCAGCAGAACCACAGCCAUGAUAGGAGAGUAUUGCAUGUAUGUAUAAAUAUUUCUGCGUAACAAUACGGACAUUCUGCUGUGGAAAUUGUGAAUGGCCAUUGAAUCUCUGUCGCAAUAGCAUUUUACAGUAGCCUAUUUUUUGUGUGCUCGAGUCACAGAAUUAGCUGUGGACAGAUCUCUUUUCACUGGAACAGAGGAAAACGCUCAGGGUAGCUGAUAGCAGCUAUGGAUUUAGUCCAUCCUAGACCUCUAAUACUUGUGAGAGGCUGGUUUUAGUCCGUCUGUAAGAUUUAGUCUGUCCUAGACCACUGAUUCUCAUCCUAUUCGGACUUAGAGACAAUGGAACAGCUUUGGCCUUGUAUUCCUGAUAUGGGGGGUACUCCCGGGGCCAUAUGUGUACAAAUGGACUUACUUUACUUUAUAAAUAUCUGACUAUAUUUAACUAUGCUGGAUGUUCUUCUUCCUCUAUUUUGGUCGCAGCAUGAAAUGCAGAAGAAAACAAUAAUUACUCAGAAUGUAAGCAAUUUAUGUUUAUUUCUGUUUCAUGAUGUGAUUUGUGAAAUUAAUGCAGUCAUUUUAUUGGGAUGGGUCCUACACAGGCAGUCCAAUUCUGAUAUUUUUCCCAAUUAUUGGCAAAAGAGCUGACCUAAUUGGUCAAAAUACCAAUUAGUGGAAAAUAUCAGAAUUAGGCUGCGUGUGUAAACAUAGCCAUAGUCUUUUUCAUGGGCUGAACUGAUGACACACACUUCCACUGUCCGUCUCAGCCCCUCAGAACCUUAGCUCCGAAUAAUAUACCUGUGGAGCUAAUAAAUCCAUACAACUGUUUGUUAAACGGACCGAUGCCAGUUAGAACGCUCUAGAUAUUAU